AGUUUGAUCCUGGCUCAGGACGAACGCUGGCGGCGUGCCUAAUACAUGCAAGUCGAACGCGUCUCCGUUAAUGAUUUUAGGUGCUUGCACUUGAAAGAUUUAACAUUGAGACGAGUGGCGAACUGGUGAGUAACACGUGGGUAACCUGCCCUUGAAGUAGGGGAUAACACUUGGAAACAGGUGCUAAUACCGUAUAACAACCAAAACCACCUGGUUUUGGUUUAAAAGACGGCUUCGGCUGUCACUUUAGGAUGGACCCGCGGCGUAUUAGCUUGUUGGUAAGGUAACGGCUUACCAAGGCGAUGAUACGUAGCCGACCUGAGAGGGUAAUCGGCCACAUUGGGACUGAGACACGGCCCAAACUCCUACGGGAGGCAGCAGUAGGGAAUCUUCCACAAUGGACGAAAGUCUGAUGGAGCAACGCCGCGUGAGUGAUGAAGGGUUUCGGCUCGUAAAACUCUGUUGUUGGAGAAGAACAGGUGUCAGAGUAACUGUUGACAUCUUGACGGUAUCCAACCAGAAAGCCACGGCUAACUACGUGCCAGCAGCCGCGGUAAUACGUAGGUGGCAAGCGUUGUCCGGAUUUAUUGGGCGUAAAGCGAGCGCAGGCGGUUUUUUAGGUCUGAUGUGAAAGCCUUCGGCUUAACCGGAGAAGUGCAUCGGAAACCGGGAGACUUGAGUGCAGAAGAGGACAGUGGAACUCCAUGUGUAGCGGUGAAAUGCGUAGAUAUAUGGAAGAACACCAGUGGCGAAGGCGGCUGUCUGGUCUGUAACUGACGCUGAG
rnacentral:rRNA from 1 species